GAUGAACGCUAGCUACAGGCUUAACACAUGCAAGUCGAGGGAGCGGCGCACGUGUGAGUAACACGUAUCCAACCUGCUCGUUACUCGGGGAUAGCCUUUCGAAAGAAAGAUUACUACCCAAUGUAAAGGAUGGGGAUGCGUUCGAUUAGGUUGUGGGUGAGGUACCGGCUCACGAAGCGUUCGAUGGAGAGGGGUGCGGAGAGGAAGGUCCCCGACAUUGGAACUGAGACCCGGUCCAAACUGCUACGGGAGGCAGCAGUGUGUAAUACUGGGCAAGGGACGCAAGUCUGACCAAGCCAAGUAGCGUGCAGGAGGACGGCCUAUGGGUUGUAAACUGCUUUUAUAGGGGGAUAGGUACCAUAUGAAUAAGGACCGGCUAAUUCCGUGCCAGCAGCCGCGGUAAUAC
rnacentral:rRNA from 1 species